rnacentral:rRNA from 1 species
UGGCUCAGGACGAACGCUGGCGGCGUGCUUAACACAUGCAAGUCGAACGAAGCACUUUAUUUGAUUUCCUUCGGGACUGAUUAUUUUGUGACUGAGUGGCGGACGGGUGAGUAACGCGUGGGUAACCUGCCUUGUACAGGGGGAUAACAGUUGGAAACGGCUGCUAAUACCGCAUAAGCGCACAGCAUCGCAUGAUGCAGUGUGAAAAACUCCGGUGGUAUAAGAUGGACCCGCGUUGGAUUAGCUAGUUGGUGAGGUAACGGCCCACCAAGGCGACGAUCCAUAGCCGACCUGAGAGGGUGACCGGCCACAUUUGGGACUGAGACACGC